GAUGAACGCUAGCUGCAGGCUUAACACAUGCAAGUCGAGCGACCGGCGCACGGGUGAGUAACACGUAUCCAACCUUCCCUUUACUCGGGGAUAGCCUUUCGAAAGAAAGAUUAAUACCCGAUAUAAAGGAUGGGGAUGCGUUCCAUUAGGUUGUUGGUGAGGUAACGGCUCGCCAAGCCUUCGAUGGCUAGGGGUUCUGGGAGGAAGGUACCCCACAUUGGAAAGGAGACACGGUCCACACUCCUACGGGAGGCAGCAGUGAGGGAUAGUGGUCAAUGGGCGCGAGCCUGAACCAGCCAAGUAGCGUGAAGGAUGAAGGCUUAUGGGUCGUAAACUUCUUUUAUAGAAGAAUAUGUAUUAUAUGAAUAAGGAUCGGCUAACUCCGUGCCAGCAGCCGCGGUAAUUC
rnacentral:rRNA from 1 species